GACGAACGCUGGCGGCAUGCCUAACACAUGCAAGUCUAGGGGUAGCAAUACCACUGGCGCACGGGUGAGUAACACGUAGGUUAUCUGCCCCCAUCACAGACAUAACCCCGGGAAACCCGGGGCUAAUAUCUGAUGAGGUCGCGAGAUCAAAGCUUCGGCGGAUGGGAGUGAGCCUGCGGCUGAUUAGCUAGUUGGUGAGGUAAUGGCUCACCAAGGCGACGAUCAGUAGCUGGUCUGAGAGGACGAACAGCCACACUGGAACUGAGAUACGGUCCAGACUCCUACGGGAGGCAGCAGUGAGGAAUAUUGGUCAAUGGGAGCAAUCCUGAACCAGCAAUGCCGCGUGUGGGAUGACAGGGCGUUCGCCUUGUAAACCACUGUCGGACGGGACGAAAGGAGGCCUCGGGCCUCUGGGACGGUACCGUCAAAGGAAGGGUCGGCUAACUACGUGCCAGCAGCCGCGGUAAU
rnacentral:rRNA from 1 species